GUUUGAUCCUGGCUCAGAUUGAACGCUGGCGGCAUGCUUUACACAUGCAAGUCGAACGGUAACAGGGAGCUUGCUCCGCUGACGAGUGGCGAACGGGUGAGUAAUGCAUCGGAACGUACCCAGUCGUGGGGGAUAACGUAGCGAAAGUUACGCUAAUACCGCAUACGUCCUGAGGGAGAAAGCGGGGGACCGUAAGGCCUCGCGCGAUUGGAGCGGCCGAUGUCGGAUUAGCUAGUUGGUAGGGUAAAGGCCUACCAAGGCGACGAUCCGUAGCGGGUCUGAGAGGAUGAUCCGCCACACUGGGACUGAGACACGGCCCAGACUCCUACGGGAGGCAGCAGUGGGGAAUUUUGGACAAUGGGCGAAAGCCUGAUCCAGCCAUGCCGCGUGAGUGAAGAAGGCCU
rnacentral:rRNA from 1 species